UAAACGCGAAAUGUGUUAUGACAUGCAAUCUUUGUGAAUCAUGAAAUCUUUGAACGCACCUUGUACCUGAAGCCUCGGCUUUGGGUGUGUUUGUUUGAGCAUCGCAAUGAACUCGCACUGGAAGGUGUGGAAAUGAGCAUCCGACGGAGGCUUGAAAGACAGCGAUCGAUCACGUGAUCGUCUUGGGAUAAUUCCAUCAUGACAAUCACGUGAUCAUCUUUUUAUCUAGUAACCGAUCUCAAAUCAAACAGGAUCACCCGCUGAACUUAA
rnacentral:misc_RNA from 1 species